ACAGAAAUGGGAGAGAAACCUGGGAAACAGCCAUCCCAAGUCAGAGGAUCCCCAGCCUGGUCUGCUCCACUGUCCCUGGACACUGCAUGCUGGUUGGCUCUUUGGGCCUGGCUGACCCUCACUCAGGACACACUCCUAGGCCGGCUCCAUAGAAAUGCCAGGCUCCCCUUGCCCAUGGGAAAGAGCACAAGCUUCUUGAGACCUAGGAUUAUGUCUUCUUGUCAUCCACUGUCCCACAAACUGCUUUAAGUCAGAUGAAAAAGCCAAGACCCAGAGAAAGAGUCAUUGCCCCAGGUCACAUAACAAGUGGGUGACACGGACCGGAACCCAGUUCUACUGACUCUCGUCCUCACCAGUGGAUCCCAACAUCGGACCCCCCAGCGGCAUCACCGGGGUGCUACUGACCAUCACCUGCUCAGGUUCUCCCCUAGAUCAGGUAAGAAAACAGACUUGGAGCCACCUACUCAUCUACCCAGUCUCAGCUAGUUAGCAGCAGAGCCAUGAUUGGCUGUUGGGUCUGCUUAAUUCCAAACAGGUCCUGAGCACCCCCAGCUGAGUACGGACUACAUCAGGAUCCAGGAAAACCAGGUUCAUGAUGGAGCCUCACUGCACAUUUCUCCAUACUGGAAUACAGACGUGAAGAUAAGAAACAAGAUUCCUGCCCUUAAGGAGCUCAUGUCUAGGAGGGAAACUCAAACAACAAUUUUAGGGAGUGUUAAUCACUUUUUAAAUCAAAUAAUUGGUAUCAUAGAAAAUAACUGGUACUGGGGAAAGCAUAAGAAAUCGUAUCUGGGGAAAUUUUUGAAGUCAAGAUCGGCAGAAAUGGAUGAAAGAAAUAAGGUGAGGGAUCUAGAAAUUGGGAGGUAGUUGUAGCUAACAAUGCUAACACCUCUCACCUGCAGUCUUCUCCAGAGGAUGGCCCUUGGACAAAUUGGAGUCAUCUCACCUGGAGAUCACUUUGGUGCAAAGACAAAAGACACCCCACCCCUCAACCUAUAAUAAAUACAUUACUGAGUCUUAUCAAGGUAAAGUAACUUGUCCAACGUCAUGCAAUCAAUAGGUGGUGCACCUGGAAUUCAAACUCCCAAGCUGGGCCAGCACUCCUGGGACACGUUUGUUCCUCAGCCUGCCUUGUCCCAUCGCAUUUGAUAAAGCCACACUUGAGAGGGAGUGACAUCAUCUAAGCCAUGGUAGUAUUUCUGGAGCCCAUGGAAAUGCCUGAACCCUGCCCCAUCAAUUACCCUUCCUGAGUAAAGAAGUCCUAAAAGAUAGAUCUACAAGAAACAGUGGUCAUAUAGGAAACAAAGGAACAAAAAACCUUUUCGUUAUUAGGUAAGCCAGCAACUGGCACCUGAAUUCAAUCUUCCCUGGUACAGGUGAAUUAAAACACACAGAUUAGACCAGAGGCUAAGUGUAGCCUCUCUCGCCCCUACCCCCGCCCCGGCCAAAAAAAUCCAAUUUUGACUCUUCUCACUCUCUCCUCCAUAUUUAAGGUGCAAAAAUGUGGGCUGGCACUAUGUUAGAAGCGGCUUCAUUAAUACUGCUCCCCUAAAUGGAAAUGAUAAAAUUUGUGAAUGAGGUUGCCUGCCAGCCUUUUCUAUCUGGCACAGUUGUGCUGUCCAAUACAGGAGCUAUUAGCUACAUGAAGUUAUUUAGAUUUGGGCUUAAAUUAAUUAGAAUUAGAUACAAUUGAAAAUUCAAGUCUUCAGUCACAUUAGCCACAUUUCAAGUACUCAAAAGCCGCACACAACUAGUGGCUUCCAUAGCAGACAGUGCAGAUGUAGGCAAUUUCCACCACUGCAGCAAGAGGACACAAGAGAGAGAAACAGAGUGGGGAGAAGAGUCUCAGACCCUCUGUCUCAGAGGGUCAGGCAAAGCUCAGUUUACCCAACCAGCUCUAGUUGCAAAAGGGAAGUGUGAAGAGGGACAUGAGAACCAGUCUCUACCCUUCAACACAAAAUGAACCCACCCAGUGGCACUCGUGAGUAUAGCCUAAUCUGUACUUCAGGCUCCAACCAAUAAAUUCACAUUUCCCCUCAAGGAGGAACAGAGGUAGGGCAGGCAGCAAAGGAUCUGGUACCACUUUCAAGGUGUAUAUGAUACUCCUAUUAACCAAAAAAUCAAAUUUAAGAUAAAGGAAUGAUCUGCAGCCUGGAGUAAGUUCAUUUGCCAUCCAGAAUAAAUACAAAAUUCUGGAGAAGACUGAACUGAUUGACCCCAUUAGGGUUAGGUGCCCAGCUUUGGAUUAGUCACGAUGGUGAGGUUUUAAGAACCUGGCAUCCAAGCAUGUGGCUGUGUGAUUGAAUCAUGACUACUACUUACGUACUUCCCUCUACAACAGACAGACAAAAAAGCAGGGACUGCUACACUGAGGCCUUAUCCCUCACUUCCCUUCUUAUGUUUGUAAGUCAGCCCUGGCUGGUUUGUCUCUGGCCUUUGAGAUUUUUGAGAACAAAUAUUCUGUUUCCUUCCUUCACUGUGCCCAGCAUGAUACCUAACUCAUAACCCUUCAUGCUUCUCAAUAAAUGUUUAACUGCAUGGCAGGAGAUGGCAUUUACUGAGCCUACCUUAGGCCAGGGACAAUGCUAUGUGCUCCUGAUAUGGUUUUGAUGUGUUCCCACCUGAAUCUCAUCUUGAAUUAAGGCUCCCAUAAUUCUCAUGUGUUGUGUGAGGGACCCGGUGGAUGAUAAUCGAAUCAUGGGUGUGGUUUCCCUCAUACUGUUUUUGUGGUAGUAAAUAAGUCUCAUGAAAUCAGAUGUUUUUAUAACGGGUUUCCCCUUUAGCUUGGCUGUCAUCCUCUCUUGUGUGCUACCAUAUAAGAUGUGCCUUUCACCUCCCACAAUUGUGAGGCCUCCCCAGCCACGAGGAACUGUGAGUCCAUUAAACCUCUUUUUCUUUAUAAGUUACCCAGCCUGGGGUAUAUCUUUAUCAGCAUCAUGAAAAAGGACUAAUACAGCUCAAUACACACUGAUUAAUUUAAUCAUUACAGCAAUCUUAUGGGGUGGAUUUUAUUCACCCUCUUUUCCAGAUGAAGAAACAAUCUUAUCCAGGUAAAAUAACUUGCUCAAGGGCACAUAACGAGUAAGUGAUGAACUUGGAAUUCAGACUCGCAUCUAUAUGACUUCUCAUGAUGCUAAAUAUUUUAAAAUGGACGAAUGAAUAUUACCACAAUUGAUUUGAUUAAAUAUCAAAAACUACCCACAAAAUAAUUGUUUAAAAUUUUAUUCAACUGGGCAAAAUGACUCACACCUGUAACCCAUAAUUUUGGGAGUCUGAGGUGGGAUGAUUGCUUGAGCCCAGGAGUUCAACACCAGCCUGGGCAACAUGUGAGACCCCAUCUCUACAAAAACAAAUUUUUUUAAUUAGUCAGGCCUGGUGGCACACACCUGUAGUCCCAGCUACUUGUGAGGCUGAGGUGGGAGGAUCGCUUGAGCCUGGGAAGUGGAGGCUGCAGUGAGCCAUGACUGUACCACUACACUCCAACCUGGGUGACAGAGAAAGACCCUGUCUAAAAAAAAAAAAAAUGUGCUAUCAAAAAGUGGAUAAAUAUGAGGCUAUGUUCAGAAUAACUUUUGAGUACUGCAAUUGAUGUCUGUUUUCUGUGAAGACAAAGCCAUAGUCAUACAAUAUUUAAGAAGCAAAAGUGUGGGCAGGUACUACAUUAAAUACAGCUUAAUUAAUAAUGAUGUUCUAAAUGGAAACGAUACAAGUACGAAUAAAGCUGCCCACCAGCCUGUUCUAUUUGGCACAGCCAGACUAUUCUUAGGCUCUUACCUGUUUUCAUUAUGUAGUUGACCUUGGAAUGUCAAUGAUUUAUGGUAUAAUUGAUACAUAAUUGGCAUCCAGGGUUCCCUUGCAGUUUAUAUUUCUUUGCUGGAACCAGUAGCUAAAGAAUAAAAGCUAUCUCUAACUUCUUCAAAUUCUUUGUUUCCUAACUCAAACCUUAGCUCCUACAAUACUCUUUGACAUGUAGCCUGUAUUUUAGUCUGCUCACUAGUCCUAAGAGAGGCCUUGCACAGUCCUUCUUCUACACCUUUCCUCCUGCUAUGAGUCCUCACCUAGGACUCAUUUAGCCCUAUACUUUCUUCAAGACUCAAUUAAACUCACACAAAGAUGAAUGUCAAUAGGUUCAAAUAUUCCUCUCCUACCACUGCCCUAGGAAAUAUUUAAUAUUUAACAUAGAAAGUGCCAAGUGCUGCAAAAUGUGAGCUCUAGUUUCAUUUUGGACUUUGUGUCAGUCAGCUUUUGCUGUGUAACAAAUAAGAACAAAAAUCUUGGUGUCAUCUACAUGACAGCUGGAGUUCAUCUGAUCCAGCUGAUUUAGAUAAAUAAGGCAUGUUAUUCUCAUGGCAACAAAAAAAAAAAAAAAAAACAAGGGCAUGAGAGCAAGCCUAACAAUACUAGCAUAUUUGAAUCUUCCGCUCAUAUCACCUCUGUGAACAUCCUACUGGCCAAAACUAAUCACGAGGCCAAGGCCAAAGUUAGGGAGUAUAGAAAGUACUUUCCUGCCACAGGGUAGGGGGAGGAGAAUGCAUAUUUACUGAACAAUAAUCUAAUCUUUACAGACACUACCAUAUAUUUUAAAUGUCCCUUCUUUUGCCACAGCAGUCUAGAGAAUGCAAAUUAAAUGAGAGGAGAAUACCAUCCAAAGCACUUAGAUCUCAGAGAAACACAGCAGAGCUGCUGCACACACAGCCUUUCACUGGGUAAUGAGUAAAGUAGAUGAAACACUUGGAGAGCAAGUUGAAAGGCAGCAAAGGCUUCUCAGCAAUAAUGUGUUAUUAGCGGGGACUUAGAGGGAACCCCAAGCUGGUGGUGCCAUACACAGAUGAUGGGAGCAUAAAUUGAUGAAAAUAUUUUAUAGGGGAAGUUGACAAUAUGUAUCACAAUUUGUAAAUGUACAUGCCCUUUGAUCCAGCAAUCCCACUGCUAAGAAUAUGCUCUAUGGAUAAAAUCAAGUAAGUAUACACAGAUUAUACUCAUUUUUUUGCUGUAGCAAAAUAAUUUGAAAAUAAAAAUAAAUAAAAGCAGAAAAGAAAAAUUGAAUAUCCAUCUCUAAAGCUCUGGUUAAAUGAAUGAUGGUAUAUUCAUGCAACAUAUUAUAGUCAUUAAAAAUAAGUCUAUACAUGCUAAUUUGUUCAUUCAAAAAAAUAUGUACUGUAUGCUCACAAUAUACCAAGUCCUGUUCUUGGCACUGACAAUGUAACAGAAAAUUAGAUAUUCAGGAUCUUUCUUCUCAAGGAGAAAGAGUAGUGGGAGAUGAUUAAUAAGUCAAUACAUAAAUGUGAUAAUCUCAGGAAGUGAUAGAGCAAAAAUAUAACAGGAUGGUAUGCAAAAGGGAGCCUAGGAGAGAGAUCACCUUGAAUGGGGGUCUGUGGAAGACCUCUAUGAGGAAGAGAUGUUUGUACUGAUUCCUGCAUAUCAAGAAAGGAAGGCCAAUCCUUCCUCAAAGGGCAUGAAGACAUAGGGGAAGAACAUUCUAGAAAGAGGAAACAGCAAAGGCCCUGAGGUGAAAAUGAGCUUGUUUUAUUCAAGGGAAGGACAAAAAGUUAGUGUGGUUGGAGCAGUGAGUGGGAAAAACAGUGGUAAAAGAUGAAGUAGGAGAAGAACUACGAGAUCUAGGUCUCUGUUCCACCGCCUACAUUUUUGUCUUCGGUUUCUUCAUCUGUAAAAUGGAGUUACUAAUCAUUGACAGCUUUUAUCUCCGGGAUGUCCACAAGAAGUUCUGUGCAAUAGGCAGGGCAGGCAUUAUCAUUCCCACUUUACAGAUGAGGAAACCAAGAUUCCAAAAGUUUUGUAACUUUGCCCCCAGUCACAUAUUUUGUAGUCAGCAGAAUCAAGACUCAAAUCCAGAUUCCUGAUGGCUAUCACAGCACUCCUUUUGCUGCAGCACAAUCUAUCCCACCUUGUUUGUGUAUUUCAACUCACAAAAGCCCUAAAUUUGGCUGUGAAUCUUUACCAUCUCCAAUUCUUUUUUUUUUUU
rnacentral:tRNA from 10 species